AAUCAACGCUGGCGGCGUGCCUAACACAUGCAAGUCGAGCGCGAAAGGGGGGCAACCCCGAGUAGAGCGGCGAACGGGUGAGUAACGCGUGGGUGAUUUGCCUCCGAGUGGGGAACAACACCGGGAAACUGGUGCUAAUACCGCAUGACAUCCUCGGGUCGUACUGGGGAUCAAAGCUGGGGACCGCAAGGCCUAGCGCUUGGAGAGAAGCCCGCGUCCGAUUAGCUAGUUGGUGGGGAAUGGCCUACCAAGGCGACGAUCGGUAGCCGGCCUGAGAGGGCGGACGGCCACACUGGGACUGAGACACGGCCCAGACUCCUACGGGAGGCAGCAGUGGGGAAUUUUGGACAAUGGGCGCAAGCCUGAUCCAGCCAUGCCGCGUGCGGGAAGAAGGCCU
rnacentral:rRNA from 1 species